rnacentral:lncRNA from 10 species
UCUGCCUGCAGCUAGACCAGGAAGAAAGGAGACUGAGCAGAGGAAAUGAAAGAGUAAAGGAGAGGAGAGAGUGGGUAGGACACAAAGCUGAGGUGACUGAAGCAGCAGGAAGUAGGCAGGGCAUGAAGAAUUGGGAUUCAAAGCCCUUGAAUUUAGUUCCCAACUUCACUUAUGGGGCAAUGCUCCAAGUCACUCAGUCACCCUGAACUUCAGCUGGAGAAGGGGAACAGGAAUAAUGCCUAUCUUCCAGGAGUGUUCUGCACAAAACUGAAGGCACAGAUGAAAAAGCACUCUGCAAAUUAAAAGAGAAGGAUGGAUAGAGAAAAGCAUCAUUACAAAAGUGAAAUGUGUGAAUUUUAUUCUGGCUUUGAACAUUGAGUAGACGAAGAAGACAAUUCCAGACGGAGGAAACUCCACAAGAAAUAUCAUGGAAAUUUGAAAGAACACAGUGGGCUUGGGAAGAGGUGCUUCCAAGACCAAGAUAACCAGGCAAUCAUAGUAGAUGCAUCAAUGCACCCUUGCCCAAGGGCCUAGACAAGAGGUAUUGUUUAGCUUCGCAUGAAUUUUAUCACCUUGCCUAGAACCAGCCACCAUCUGCCAGGGCUCCUGACUUUUUCUGAAAUGAAUAGACACUAAAGCCUGCUGGGGAAUUUCAUGGAAAUCAAGAUGACUCAACCCAGAGUCCAUUUCAAGGCUAGGAUGCUAGAGGACGCCAACAAAGGAGUAGGGAAGUGAAACGGAUCAGCUCACAUCCAAGCCCUUGCAUGAUCAAUCCUGCAGUAGGAGUGCUGCUCAGUUGGGACUCAUGAGAGCCCGGAAGAGGAAAAAGCAGCUCUAAGCAUAGCAAAGAAGCUGUUAUGGAAAAGACCCAAAUGUUAAAAUGGUGGACAUAGUAAAGUGAUUGGUUCUGCUUAGGGGAAUCUAGAUCCCCACAUUUUGACCUCCACUGGAGUCUCAGAAGAACAAGUGCCAGGGGGGCUUGCCACAGAGGCCAAGGCAGUGAAUGUCAGGCACAUCACAGUCCCCAAGAUGGGGAGAAGACUGAGAUGCAGGGUAACAACUGCAAUCCAUUCAUGGGAGCCAUGUUUAUCUUAAAUCAUUGACAGUGAGAUAAGGAUCAUGUCAGCCUUCAUACCUUUGAUGAUGAUCCCAGGCUGCAACAGUGACACAUAGAACUGGAUUCAGUAACUAACUACAGAUUCCAUCAACCAGGACUAGUAAAGUGAAAGGCAGAAAUUGGGAGGAGGGGUUUCUUUCUUGCUUAUAAAACUUUAUUUGGUUGUGUUGAGUAUGUGCAUGUAUGUAUGAAAUCCCAUAAAGCAGUCUUCUUAGGAACAAGCCAACAUGCCACAAUGUAGGAGAUCUUUGGAGCACUGGCCUAAAUGGCAGAGAGCUCAAGGGACUCUGCUUUGUACAAGGCAUGAUUUGUACCACCACCACUAUCCCUGUUUCAGAGCACUGUUGAAUUGUUCCAAACCUGGAUUUCUAUGUCAGCUCCCUGUCUAUAGUACUUGACUGAUAAAUGCUAGUUUCUGAAAUCUGCUUUGGUUCUAUAAUUUAUUAGACAGCUUUUUCUUCCCAUUUUAUUACUUGUUUUUACUGUCAUUGGUAUAUUAUCUCUUACAGUGAAAACAUUCAUAGGCUGAUUGAAGAGAAGAUCUGAAAUUAUUAGGCAGCAAGCAUACAAAACCCUUGCUUUAUAAAGAUAAUAUCUUAAAGGCCUAAUGUCUAUGGUUCAAAGCAGCCUGGAGAUGUUGGCUAAAUCUUCCAUCAUAGAGUCCUCAUGGGAUCUGGAAGCUCUGAUUUAUCUUCCUUCAGGCCCUAUAAGUUAGCUUUCCACAUCUGUAGGUUCCACAAUCAACCUUGGAUCAAAAACAUUUGAAA